UCAUAUAAUGGAUGAACAAUCCAAACAAAAGAAUCUAUUAGACUGAAAGGCAAGUUAUCCACCAUUUAUUAUUCUUUUUCAUUUUUGCUAGUGCUCCACUUUUUCAAUCUCCAACAAUGGCCUUAGAGGAUUCAAAUUGGAUAAACAUGAAUCCUAUAUCAAAAUAUUGGAGUUUCCAUCCGGUUUUUCUUUUCGGAGCAACCAGUUCUACAUACCAAGUCCAUAUUCUUCACUUUCUCUCAUUUUCUUGCUCAAUGUCCUACAAAUCUAUCACUCUUAUCUUGAAGAUGGUUGUGGAGAAAAUGAAGAGAAUGAAGAUAUUGCAGAUGAUCAUUAUCAUCUAUUAUUGGUACAACAACUUUUCAUCAUCUAGCCAAUCCAUAGAUUUUUAAUAUCAAAAACAGGUUCUUAGUUUAAUUCAAAUUUCAGAGCCUUUUGGAAAAUGUCUUGAUGAAAAUUUUAACAUGGAGCCUCUCAUUGUAAUGCACAAAUUGUUAUUGGCCCAUGGCAAGGCAUCCGAGCUAUAUCAUGAAAAUUUCCAGCCAAUUAAUUAAUUUCAAGUUUAUUUUCAUUUUCAA